rnacentral:tRNA from 1 species
GGGGUUGUGGCUCAGUGGUAGAGUUCUUGCCUAGCAUGCAUGAGGCACUGGGUUCCAUUCUCAGCACCACA